rnacentral:pre_miRNA from 1 species
UGUGUACUCCCUUCGUUCCAAAAUACUUGACUUCCAUUUGUCCAAAAAUGGAUGUACCUAUAUACUAAGACAUGUCUAGAUACAUAUAUAUUUUCACAAAUAGAAGGCAUGUAUUGUGCAACGGAGGGAGUAGAAU